UACGUAGGGUGCAAGCGUUGUCCGGAAUUAUUGGGCGUAUAGAGCUCGUAGGCGGUCUGUUGCGUCGGCUGUGAAAACCCGGGGCUCAACCCCGGGCCUGCAGCCGAUACGGGCAGACUAGAGUUCGGCAGGGGAGACUGGAAUUCCUGGUGUAGCGGUGAAAUGCGCAGAUAUCAGGAGGAACACCGGUGGCGAAGGCGGGUCUCUGGGCCGAUACUGACGCUGAGGAGCGAAAGCGUGGGGAGCGAACAGG
rnacentral:rRNA from 1 species